rnacentral:rRNA from 1 species
GGAUUGCCCUAGUAACGGCGAGUGAAGCGGCAACAGCUCAAAUUUGAAAUCUGGCCCUUGGGUCCGAAUUGUAAUUUGUAGAGGAUGAUUUUGGUGCGGUAUCUUCCGAGUUCCUUGGAACAGGACGCCUUAGAGGGUGAGAGCCCCGUACGGUUGAAUGCCUAGCCUCUGUAAAUCUCCUUCGACGAGUCGAGUAGUUUGGGAAUGCUGCUCUAAAUGGGAGGUAAAUUUCUUCUAAAGCUAAAUACUGGCCAGAGACCGAUAGCGCACAAGUAGAGUGAUCGAAAGAUGAAAAGCACUUUGAAAAGAGGGUUAAAUAGCACGUGAAAUUGUUGAAAGGGAAGGAUUUAUGACCAGACUUUUUCUGGGCGGAUCAUCCGGUGUUCUCACCGGUGCACUUUGCCCAGUUUAGGCCAGCAUCGAUUUUCGGAUAGGGAUAAAAGCUUUAGGAAUGUGGCUCCCCCGGGAGUGUUAUAGCCUAUUGUAUAAUACCUUUCUGGGGAUCGAGGUACGCGCUUCUGCAAGGAUGCUGGCGUAAUGGUUAUCAAUCACCCGUCUUGAAACACGGACCAAGGAGUCGAACAUUUGUGCGAGUGUUUGGGUGUUAAACCCUCACGCGUAAUGAAAGUGAACGGAGGUGAGAGCCCUUACGGGUGCAUCAUCGACCGAUCCUGAAGUUUUCGGAUGGAUUUGAGUAAGAGCAUAACUGUUCGGACCCGAAAGAUGGUGAACUAUGCGUGGAUAGGGUGAAGCCAGAGGAAACUCUGGUGGAGGCUCGCAGCGGUUCUGACGUGCAAAUCGAUCGUCAAAUCUGCGCAUGGGGGCGAAAGACUAAUCG